AACCGCAAAGAGCUCAGUAAACCAGUUUUAAUUUACUAGAGUUAAAACACGUUACGUACGUGGAUACCUGUGGCAAUUCUAGAGCUAAUACAUGCAAUUAAGUCCGGACCAGAAAUGGAAAGGACGCUUUUAUUAGAUCAAAACCAUUUCGCCCAACUUGUUUGGGCGUUGUUUUGGUGAAUCUAGAUAACCCUUGAGAUCGUACAGUCAUCGUACUGACGACAUCUCUUUCAAACGCCUGACUUAUCAGCUGUCGAUGGUAGACUCUGUGUCUACCAUGGCCCUCACGGGUAACGGGGAAUCAGGGUUCGAUUCCGGAGAGGGAGCCUGAGAAACGGCUACCACAUCCAAGGAAGGCAGCAGGCACGCAAAUUACCCACUCCCGGCACGGGGAGGUAGUGACAAAAAAUAACGAUACGGGACUCUAUUGAGGCCCCGUAAUCGGAAUGAGUACACUUUAAAUCCUUUAACAAGGAUCCAUUGGAGGGCAAGUCUGGUGCCAGCAGCCGCGGUAAUUCCAGCUCCAAUAGCGUAUAUUAAAGUUGUUGCGGUUAAAAAGCUCGUAGUUGGUUCUGCGUGCCGCGCUGUCGGUUCGCCGCCUGUCGGUGUAACUGGCAUGUCGCGGCAUGUCCUGUCGGUGGUAAACGUGGCCCACGAUGCUGCUAAGGCUUUCAUAGUCUAAGUAUGUACCGUGUGUGUUGACGUUUGCCGAUCUCUCCUACUCCGGUGCUCUUAAACGAGUGUCRAGGUAGGCCGACACGUUCACUUUGAACAAAUUAGAGUGCUUAAAGCAGGCUGAAAUAUCUGCCUGAAUAGUGGUGCAUGGAAUGAUANAAUAGGACCUCGGUUCUAUUUKGUUGGUUUUAGGAAUAUGAGGUAAUGAUCAAUAUGGACUGGCGGGGGCAUUCGUAUUGCGACGUUAGAGGUGAAAUCU
rnacentral:rRNA from 1 species